UUAGUGAUUCGCUUGGCACAGAUACAUUGUUUGCAGAUCAGUGAAGAUAUAAUAUAUUGUAAAUGGUUGAGACUCAGCAUUGGAAAUAAAAAUACGCUAAAUAUACGUUCCAAUACUUUAAUAUAUUGCAUAGCACGUGUCGGUUGUAUUUAACGGAUUGUACAUAUCGCUUUAUCACGAUGAAUUAUAAAAUUAUUGUGCAAAAGAUGCAAUUUCGCAUUCAUUUAAUCUACAGGCAAUUACUACUGAAAAAACAUCUACGGGAGUAAUUAUUCCAUGUCGCUGUUAUGUAUACCUGAAUUGUAGUUAGAAAUCUUUUCCAGAGACUGUCAAAGAUUAAAGGACCACAACCAAAGAAUCAUUUUGGAUGGACAAUUGGAUUCAUUUCGAAGUGUUUUUAUAUCUAAAUUAUUUAUUUAUUUAUUGAAUUAAAGAAGAGAAUUUUGUUAUCUCAAUAUAAAUAUGCUUGAGGCUUGUUUCAACUGUUAAGAAUAUGUUGUGGAUUUUCGGUGUUUAGAUGUUGCCGUCGUAAAAACAGGUUGAAUGAAUGAUUGUGAUAAAGUUUGUUAAAAUUCAAGGUUUUUGCUAUAUUUAAUUUAUGCGCUUAUGAAUGAAA